ACAAUGAAGAGUUUGAUCCUGGCUCAGGAUGAACGCUAGCUACAGGCUUAACACAUGCAAGUCGAGGGGCAGCAUGGAAGAAGCUUGCUUCUUCUGAUGGCGACCGGCGCACGGGUGCGUAACGCGUAUCAAACCUGCCUCAUACUCGGGGAUAGCCUUGCGAAAGUAAGAUUAAUACCCGAUGUUGUUAUAUUUCCGCAUGGUGAUAUAACCAAAGAUUUAUCGGUAUGAGAUGGUGAUGCGUCCGAUUAGGUAGUAGGCGGGGUAACGGCCCACCUAGCCAUCGAUCGGUAGGGGUUCUGAGAGGAAGGUCCCCCACACUGGAACUGAGACACGGUCCAGACUCCUACGGGAGGCAGCAGUGAGGAAUAUUGGUCAAUGGACGCAAGUCUGAACCAGCCAAGUAGCGUGCAGGAUGACGGCCCUCCGGGUUGUAAACUGCUUUUAGUUGGGAAUAAAAAGAGGGACGUGUCCCUCAUUGUAUGUACCUUCAGAAAAAGGACCGGCUAAUUCCGUGCCAGCAGCCGCGGUAAUACGGAAGGUCCAGGCGUUAUCCGGAUUUAUUGGGUUUAAAGGGAGCGUAGGCGGAUUAUUAAGUCAGUGGUGAAAGACGGUGGCUCAACCAUCGUUAGCCAUUGAAACUGGUAGUCUUGAGUGCAGACAGGGAUUCUGGAACUCGUGGUGUAGCGGUGAAAUGCUUAGAUAUCACGAUGAACUCCGAUCGCGAAGGCAGGU
rfam:Prevotella sp. oral taxon 473 str. F0040 genomic scaffold Scfld52, whole genome shotgun sequence.